UACGUAGGGUGCGAGCGUUGUCCGGAAUUACUGGGCGUAAAGAGCUCGUAGGUGGUUUGUCGCGUUGUUCGUGAAAACCUGAGGCUUAACCUUGGGCGUGCGGGCGAUACGGGCAGACUGGAGUACUGCAGGGGAGACUGGAAUUCCUGGUGUAGCGGUGGAAUGCGCAGAUAUCAGGAGGAACACCGGUGGCGAAGGCGGGUCUCUGGGCAGUAACUGACACUGAGGCGCGACAGCGUGGGGAGCGAACAGG
rnacentral:rRNA from 1 species